rnacentral:lncRNA from 1 species
AUGAUCAAAAGGUGAUCAGGUGGUACAGAUGUUUCCACCUCAACACCCUCCCUUCGGCAAAGAAUUGACUUGCUAAUUUCAUUUGGAACCUUAAAACAACAUGAAAGAUCAUAUUCUAUGGCAUAACUACUGCUACAAGGCUCAACUUCGAGGCCACCCAUGUGCUGGUGGGAGAUUUGAAGUCAGGAUUACCCUCGCCAUCUGGAUUUUUUAAGCAAACCUACUUCUCUACCUCAGAUUCAACAGGCAUGAAUUCUGAAAAAAACAAUUCUCUACCCCCUUUUACUGGUUUUCUUUUUCAGAAAUGCCCUUUUCUGAAGAAAAUAAAUGAAGUCAAUGACAGUUAUGACUUAAAUUGACUUUAUUGUAUCCAUCAACUUAUUCUUAGGUUUAUAGUAACACAACAUUUAAUGUGAGUUUAUUGUUUUCUCAGUCUCUUGGUGCUUUUUCAGAGUUAAAUAGUCUACAAGGAGCACUUCAAUUCUGUUCUUGAGUUAAAUUU